ACAAAUUGCUGCAGGCAGUGGGGCCAGAAGCCCUUUGGGUUGUGAGCAGCCACAUCAGUGUACUCCCUUCCUUCCCCCCAUUUUCUCUCCACUUUUCCCCCCCUUUCUCAUGUUUUGAGCAUUGUGAGGAGCUGGAUUCAGAUGUGUGGCUUUGUUUUAUUUUAUAGCUUUUCUAUGCUGUUUCUUGAGGAACAUCAGGUAUUCUAGAAGCUGGAAAAAAAUUUUUCACACCAAUAAAUGAAUUGUUGGGAAGAGCUUCAGUUUCACUACAGACAGACCUUUUGCAGGCAGAGACUGAGGAAAGAUUUGCCCUGAAUGUUGGGGUAAUGACCCUUCUCAUACAGGGAUUCAAAACUACAUCCAAAAUGCACAUUCAAAGUAGCAGCUGUGUGGAGAGUGAAGAGAGACUGUGCCCUCAUGCAGCCUCCCUUCUUCCUUGGGAUGUUAAAUCAACAAGCACAUGCAGAGAAAAGGGCAAGAACACCAGCACCACUCCUGUUUCUCAAACUCAGGAAUGUGAUUCUCUUCUGCUUUGCCCAGCUCAUAGCUUUCUUGGGAAAUUCCAUUUCUGGUUUGACUCAUCUUGCUGCUUUAUGUAAGUGUGAUUAGUGGCACAGCUCUCCAUUUGUCCCUGAGAACAGCUGGACAUCACAGCUUUUGCUUGCAAGAAACUCUGGGUAGAUGCUUUGGAACCUCUUAAUGACAAUGAAACCUCUGCAACAACUUUGUGGUUGCUGCAUCUGGAGAAGACCAUUCCAUCUGGAGAAGACCCUCCUCCCAGGUUUUGAAGUGCUGGGCUCCUGCCCUGCAUGUUGUUUUUACAAGGGAAUUAUGAAGAGUGACUUUCAACAGCUGUUUUCUCUGGGAUCAUUCCAGCUCCCCAUGAAAUCAGUGACCACUCUUCUGGUUUUCCAUGGCCUGUAGAGACAGAUACUUCAGGCAUAAGUGUCAGGGUUUAUCUUUCAUUCAGUUUGGCUGAGCUUUUCAGUCUUUGGCUGAACUCAGGUUCAGUAAAACUGAGGAGUGCCUGGACUAGAAGAAGGUGUAAUGUAGGAAAGAAUAAACUGGGAAGGCACUCAUAGGGAAUGAGUUGC
rnacentral:lncRNA from 1 species